rnacentral:rRNA from 1 species
CGCACGGGUGAGUAACACGUGAAUAAUCUACCUCCGAGUGGGGAAUAACCAAGAGAAAUCUUGGCUAAUACCGCAUAACACUUACGAGUCAAAGCAGCAAUGCGCUUGGAGAGGAGUUCGCGGCAGAUUAGUUAGUUGGCGGGGUAAUGGCCCACCAAGACGAUGAUCUGUAUCCGGCCUGAGAGGGCGCACGGACACACUGGAACUGAAACACGGUCCAG